rnacentral:rRNA from 1 species
UACGUAGGGAGCAAGCGUUGUCCGGAUUCACUGGGUGUAAAGGGUGCGCAGGCGGAUCGGUAAGUCAGAGGUGAAAUCUCACAGCUCAACUGUGAAACUGCCUUUGAUACUGCUGAUCUUGAGUUAGGGAGAGGUUGAUGGAAUUCCAGGUGUAGCGGUGAAAUGCGUAGAUAUCAGGAGGAACACCGGUGGCGAAGGCGGGUCUCUGGGCAGUAACUGACGCUGAGGAGCGAAAGCGUGGGGAGCGAACAGG